rnacentral:rRNA from 1 species
UACGUAGGGGGCAAGCGUUGUCCGGAAUCAUUGGGCGUAAAGAGCUCGUAGGCGGUUUGUCGCGUCUGCUGUGAAAACUCGAGGCUCAACCUCGGGCUUGCAGUGGGUACGGGCAGACUAGAGUGCGGUAGGGGUGACUGGAAUUCCUGGUGUAGCGGUGGAAUGCGCAGAUAUCAGGAGGAACACCGAUGGCGAAGGCAGGUCACUGGGCCGCAACUGACGCUGAGGAGCGAAAGCAUGGGGAGCGAACAGG